rnacentral:tRNA from 1 species
AUUUAUAUAGUUUAAUAAAACAUUACAUUUUCAAUGUAAAAUUAAAAUAAAUUUUUUAUAAAUU